rnacentral:siRNA from 1 species
UCUAUAGUCCAGAUGAAUUGC